UAUAUAUCUGGUGACCUUUACCAAUAUUCUAUAGCUUCAAUAUAUAAACACUAUUGUCAAUAUUGAUCUUUUAGUGUGCACCCAAGAUUUUGCUUAUAAAUACUACAUUAGUGUAUAUAUAAACGUGAUGUUUGGUGUUAAUACUUUGGAGUUAACAUGUUUUAAUAAAUAACGAGAAGUAUUUAGAUGGUUGGCUGGGACACAUCGGCAGAUAAGUUGUGAGGGCGUACCAGAUUGUACUGAUGGCCUGUUUAAGAAGGCGGAUCGAGUCUGGUCCGGAUAAUACCCUUUUAACAUUUAUUGCAAACAUAGGAAUAAUCGUAUUAUGUCUAAUCAACAUUGUCUUCCUGUUGCUAGGUGUAGGUGCUAUCGUUGUUGCAGUUCGGUUGGAUAAAGAAAUUGACAAGCACGACGACAUCAUGGCCUUGUUUAACCUUGUACAGCUAGGCACAUUUACUCUAAAAGAACUUAUUAAUGCAAUCAUAGUGGCCGUGAUAAUGUGCGGCGUGUUUGCGAUCGUGACGUCAAUGAUUGGCGGAUUUGGAGCGUUCUGUACCUCGAGAUUAUUACUC